UCGAGAGAACUGGCUCUUUCUCGACUCUUUUACAUCGGAAUCACCCUUGUUCGCCUCGUACCCCAUGGAUAUGAUCUGUACAGGGCAAACAACUAUGUUGAUAUAGAUGACACAUACAUUUACGCAGAUCAUGGUGCAGAUUACUACUCAACUGCUUGGGACUUCAUUAUUAUUGUGUUGGGUAUAUUCUUUGCUGUGAUCAUACACUACCAACAGCGCCUCGGCGGUCGAUAUUUCCUUUCGAAGAGAUUCCUAGAAUCUGGGACAGAUAAGGAACCUCCAGUGGAUUCAGAAGAACAAUUGCCAUUGAAAUAUAGCACCUAGUCCAUGCCUUGUGUUACUUUUAAGUGUUCACAACUUUUACUGUUUCCAAAUAAUUAUGUAAAUUCAUCCUUUUUCUUUUAUAGCUUAAUAAGCCUAAUGUAAUAUAAAGUUAUAAAUAAAAUUGUUUUAAAAAAUAUUUUAUUUUAAAUUUUUAUUUUAGAUUAAAGUUUGGGUGAGCCUUAAAUGUGAAUAUGUACCCAAAAUGAAUAAAUUUAAAAAGUACACAGUACAAAGAAAAAAAAAAAUUUUGUGUCAGAAUCAAAUAAAAAAAUCCGAAAAAAAGAAAAAAAAAUUGGGUGUUGGCCUGUCAAUGGCCGGCACCCAGUACGCAGUACAAAGAAAAAAAUUUAUUUAUUUUUAUUUUUUUCGUAUUUUUUUAUCUGAUUCUGACACGAAAAAAAAAUAAUUUUUUUUCUUUCUACUGUGUACUGGGUGCCGGCCAUUGACAGGCCAGCACCCAAAAUUUUUUUUUAUUUUUUUUCUUAUUUUUUAUCUGAUUCUGACACAAAAAAAUAAAAUUUUUUUUCUUUGUACUGUGUACUGGGUGCCGGCUAUUGACAGGCCAGCACCCAAAAAUUUUUUUUUAAUUUUUUUCGUAUUUUUUAUCUUAUUCUGACACGAAAAAAAAUAAAAAAAAAUUUUGUACUGUGUACUGGGUGCCGGCCAUUGACAGGCCAGCACCAAAUUUUUUUUUUUGUUUUUUUUCUUUUUUGUAUAUCCGUAUUUCAGUAUUACACAAUUUUUUUAAAAAAAUACCUGGGUUCUGGCCAUUGACAAGCCAGAACCCAAAAAAAUAAUUUUUUUAAGUCUAACAUAAUGAUUAGCCAAUCAUUGGUGCAAAAAAAGAGUGGGUACUGUUCAUUUUAGGUUAUUUUGGUGAUUGUUUUUAAACUUGGGUUAUUUUUGUAAAUAUAAUAUUUUUUGGGUUAUUUGGGUAAAACAGCCUAGUUCUGUCCUGGACGGGUCAUUGGAUCUAAUUCGAAGUCUUAUCCGAAAAUUGAAAGGGUUUGAAUGAAAAUAUAAGCUCAAAAAAUAGACUUGGACAAAAUAAAAAGACUCGUUUAAAAAACGGAUCAGACCUUGGGUAAGCCUUUUUGGCCCAAUCUCGGCCCUAAUUAGCAAAAAGACAAAAAAAAAAGCCUACUAUUUUCUUACUGUUUUGAUACUAUUUUUUUUAUUAUUUUCUUACUUUUUUACUAUCAUUUCAUUAUUAUGUUACUAUUAUUUUGUUAUUAUUAUUUAGAUAUUGUAUAACUCUUAUUUUAAUAUUAAUUUUGUUACUAUUUUAGAGACAUUUGUUUGUUAAGUUACACUUAUCUUAGUAUUAUUUAAGUAUAAAUUUAUUUUUUAAAUUUAUUUUCAAUUUUUUAAGAAUCAUUUAUUUUAAUGUUUUUUAUAUUUUAGAUGUAUUAUAUUUUUAAUUUUUUAUAUAUAAAAAAUAAUAUAAAGAAAUUAAUUUGGGCGGAUCGAACUAGACUCGAGUUUUAGUAUUUUUAUCCAAGUUGGGCUUGAAAAAAAUUUAAGCCCAUUUUUCGGGUCAAAUCGAGCCCAAACAUAGCAAACGGGCCUAAAAUAAUAAUAAUUCAUUAUUGGAUUGAGGUAGAACAUGAGGCUUGACUCUCGGCUUGUUAAAAUAUAUUAUUUGGUACCCAUAUUUGAUUUCAAUGUUUGAUUUGGUAUCUGAGUUUGACUUCAAUGCUUAGUUUGAUACUUGAGUUUUUUCAUAUUAAUGCUUGAGUUUUUCUUUGUCACAUAUAAGUACCUAAAUUUUACUUCAAUGUUUAAUUUGGCACUUGAGUUUUUUCUUUUGUCCCAAUUAAGUACCUAUGAUUAUUUUACUAAGGCACACAUGUAAAAUAUUUUUUGAAGUACACGAUGUUUAGUUUGGGUACCAAAUUAAAUAUUGAAACCAAAUAUAAGCACUAAAUGGUAUAUUAACCCUUAACUUUAUCAUAUAGGGACCUAAAUUUAACAAAAAUAAAAUUAACAGUGUUAACAAUUAGACCUAAAUUCUAAAAUUUUAAAAGUAGAAAGAGUAAGGUCCUGAAAAUAAAAAUAUAGGGACUAAAUUUUAAAUUUAUGAAUCGUACAGGAUCUACAACAUAUUUUAACCCUUUGAAAAAUCAACGAUUAGACCACUUUUAGCAAAUAGCAGGAAAUUGCAUCCAUGUGCUCUAGUUUUUAAGUCAAGUCAGCUGUUGUAGGACCUGCCGACAAUAAUAAUAAUAACCACUCGUUAUUGAUUGAGGUAGAAGACGAGGCAUGACUCUAAACUUCCUUUAAUUUUAAAGUUAAUAUAUUAUUUAGUACCUAUAUUUAAUUUUAAUGUUCAAUUCGAUACCUAAAUUUUUUUCCCAAAUUGGUACCUGAUUUUUUGGGUAUUGAUACUUGAGUUUUCUUUUUCCCAUACCAGUACUCAGGUUUGACUUUAAUGUUUAAUUUAACACCUGAGUUUUUUUUGUCCCAAUUAAGUAUCUAUGUUUUUUUACUAGGCGGACAUGUCAAAUAUUUAUUGAACCACACGAUGUCGUUUAGUUUGAGUAUCGAAUUGAACAUUGAAGCCAAACUUAGGUUUCAAAUUGAAACAAAAAAAAGAUUAGGUACAAAAUUGAAAAUUCAAGCCAAAUGUAAGUACCAAAUGAUAUAUUAACCCUUAAUUUUAUCAUAUAUAUAUAUAUAUGUAAAUAUUAAUCAAAAAAAUUAAACAUUUUGGUGUUGAUUAUAUAAAUAUUCAUAUAAGACAUUCACACCAAAUGGCAUGAUUUCACCCAUAUUUCUGGUAUUGUUUAUACGUUUGAGGGUCAGUCUACAAAAAAAUACAUCAGUUUUCAAAAAUUAUUUAGUUGUUAAAUAUAAGGUUGUCUUUUGCUGUGUUCAUUUUAUAAUGUGAUUUGAUCAAAAACUUCCUUCGGAUUAAAUAUAAAAUAUUGUCAUAAUCCUCUCUUACUUUUCAAAGUCUUGCAAGGUCUUGUUCUUGGAAAUUUCCCAUGUCCAGUGAGAGAUGUAGAGUAUAAUAUCUAUAUAUUUAUGAUCAUUUUCAAAGCUUUUGCAAUAAGUUCUUUAUCACAAUCUUGCUGUCUGAAGAAAUUCAUGUCUAUAGAUAUGGACUGUUCCAUAUUCUGUACGACGAAACUCUGUUUUAUUAAUGCUUUCUUCAUGUUGUUUAUCAUCUCCUCUUUCACAUGUCCUCAUGUAGUCUUCGGCACAGCAAGUGAAGUUGAUUAUGGUGUUCACUGUAACUCAGUUGUUCAUGAAUCCAAACCAGUUGAUGAGGAGUUCAAUAUCAUGCCUUUCCCUGGACGUCAAAAUGGUUACUUCAGUGGUGGUGAUAAAGUCCUAAACAAUCCUCCUUCACGUUCCUACUCUGCACCCAAAUCGAAAACGCUCCUUUUCGAGACUCACCACGUAUUUACAACCGAAGCUGAUGAUGUCUUUAUGGUGGAAGGAAACCUGAUUUUUCAAACCUCGUUUUACUAUGAACGGAGUAUCUCCUCUGGAAGCUCACACUUUAUUAUAAGGUCAAGCGAUUCAAGCGACCGUGGGACACUGGACUUCGAUUUUCGAGGCUUCUGGUCUCGAACAACCGGGAAGCUUUGCAUGGUGGGAUCGAGUUAUGCUUACUCCAAAGAAGGUAAACUGCUUCAUCUUGCUGCUGUUCUUAAGAUUAAUAAUCUUAGGAAGUCAAGUACUAUCAGAACUUUAGUGACUGGUACCCUGGAUAGCUUGAAUUCAAUUGGUGAUCCAAAUCACUUUGAGCAAAUUUCACUGCUGAUGUUUCCCCAACUAAAUUACGCUUACACCAUGGUUUCAAAACAAUUUAGUGAAGGGUGUCCUCGGGGAACCGAUGUCCAACCGAUGUCGUCCCUCCGCUUAUCGCAAACUCGAACUAUUUGUGAUAUGUUAGGUGGAAGCAAUGCUUUCGAAUUGGAGUAUACUGGCAGUUGUAAUUCUUCAAAGAGUUGCAAUCCAUUUGGUGAUGGUAUUGGAUAUUUACCUUCAGUAAUAUCGUUGAGUAUGAUUCAGUGCUCAAACGAUAGGCAAAGCUUGAGGUUUCUGAUAGAAUUCCGGAACGACAGCUAUCAGGGAUACUAUAGCUCUCCCAAUCUCAACACUUCAUUAAUUGGAGAAGGAUCUUGGGAUGCAAAGAGUAAUCGGCUUUGUAUCAUUGCUUGCCGAAUCUAUGAUGCAUCGAGCUCCUUGGAGAAGUCUCAUGUCGGAGACUGCACGACACGGUUGAGCUUAAGAUUCCCUGCAAUCUUGUCUAUCAGAAACCCAAGCACCAUUGUAGGAGAAAUUUGGAGUGAGAAGCCUAGGAAUGAAGGUGGUUUCUUUGACAGGGUCGAGUUCCGAAAUACUGGACGUUAUGGAGGAGGAAUUCAACUUCAAGGUUUGAAGUAUGUGUACACGGAAAUGGACGAAGUGAAGAAAUCAUGUCCAAAGAAGAAUUCUAGGACUAAUAGCAGUAUGGAACACUAUCCAGAUGGCUAUUCUGGAGACAUGAGUUUUAGUAUGUCCAUCAUCAACGGUUCCAAAGGAAGCAUCGGAUGGGGUUCUUCGGAUAUUCUUGCGGUAGAUGAUCAGCAGUAUCAGAGAUUUCCAUCUCUAUUACCAUCCUCAAGCUCAAAGCCUAAAAGUUCUGGCGUUGAAUCCGAUUCCAGCAGUGGCUUGCUUAAUGUCAGCUAUAAAAUUAGCAUCCCGCCACUUAGUUUGGAAUUGGAUGGUGGCCUCAAACCGGUUAACCAAUCUUCAUAUGAAUAUCUGCAAACCAAAAUCCAAAUUUCUGCUGAAGGGGUUUAUGAUACAACAACAGGUAGCCUAUGCAUGGUUGGCUGCAGGCGUUCAAGGUUAGACGGCAAAUCAUUUUCAAGCCAUUCGAUAGAUUGCGAUAUCCUUGUGCAAGUCAACUUUCUUCCAUUGAACUCGCGCAAGAUAAAUAACAUCAAGGGAAGCAUCGAGAGCACGCGUGAAAAUACCGAUAGUCUGUACUUCAAGCCUCUGCAGAUUUUGGGAACAACUAAUUCUCGCAGUUGGGGAGCGGAAUCGAUUUGGAGAAUGGAUUUCGAGAUGAUCGUGUCGGUCGUAUCCAACACUCUUGCAAUUAUCUUUGUUGCAUUUCAAAUCUUUCAUGUGAGGAAGCACCGUGGCAUUGGUCCUAUGGUUUCACUUCUCAUGCUUGUUAUUCUAGCCCUGGGACACUUGAUCCCUUUGGUUCUAAACCUCGAAGCAACGUUCAUUCAGGAUAGCGAGCGAUCGAUCUUGAUUAGAGGUGGAAGGUGGCUCGAAAUGAAUGAGGUGAUCAUUAGAGUCGUCACAAUGGUGGCUUUUCUGCUGCAAGUCCGUCUUCUGAUGCUCUCAUGGACUGCUAGAUGCUCCACUGAAAAGAAAAAGACCUUGUGGAUUGCAGAAAAAAGGGGGCUGUAUGUGUGUGUUCCGGUGUACGUAAUCGGAGCUAUUAUCGCCUUUUCGGUUAAGUCAAGGCAGAAUGUACACGGAACAGUAAUGGCCAGGCAUUCUUGGUACGACAUAGAUGAAAUCAUUUUGGGGAAUUCAAGAGCUUAUGCUGGUUUGAUACUGGAUGCCUUUCUUUUCCCUCAAAUCAUCUUCAACAUGUUCCACAGCUCGAGAGAACUGGCUCUUUCUCGACUCUUUUACAUCGGAAUCACCCUUGUUCGCCUCGUACCCCAUGGAUAUGAUCUGUACAGGGCAAACAGCUAUGUUGAUAUAGAUGACACAUACAUUUAUGCAGAUCAUGGUGCAGAUUACUACUCAACUGCUUGGGACUUCAUUAUUAUUGUGUUGGGUAUAUUCUUUGCUGUGAUCAUACACUACCAACAGCGCCUCGGCGGUCGAUAUUUCCUUUCGAAGAGAUUCCUAGAAUCUGUGAUAGAUGAGGAACCUCCAGUGGAUUCAGAAGAACAAUUGCCAUUGAAAUAUAGCACCUAGUCCAUGCCUUGUGUUACUUCUAAGUGUUCACAACUUUUACUGUUUCCAAAUAAUUCUGUAAAUUGAUCCUUUUUCUUUUAUAGCUUAAUAAGCCUAAUGUAAUAUAAAGUUAUAAAUAAAAUUGUUUUAAAAAAUAUUUUAUUUUAGAUUAAAGUUUGGGUGAGCCUUAAAUGUGAAUAUGUACCCAAAACGAAUAAAUUUAAAAAUUAUACUUUUUUUUAUAUUUAAAUAUAAAUCCAACAUAAAUUCUUACAAAAAUUAAAAGUAAAUUUAUUGGCAUGUAGCAUAACAUUUCCUUGUAAUUUUGGUGUUUUCAGCUUUCCAUUUACCAACUUUUGACUUAGUUUACUCCUCUCUAGUGUUUGAUAAAAGCUAUUAAAAAACCUAUAAUUUAUAACCAUAGUUAAAUAUCCAAUGUAUUAAUGAUAUGUUUGGUAGGAAUAUGAAUUAGUAAUAAAUUAAUUUCAGUCGAUAAUUUAAAUAUUUAUAUGAUCGACUUGUUUGAUAUGUUUAAUAUAAACGAGGACUGUUAUGUUAAAUACUAGAUAUGAACUUUGGGGGUUAGCUGCCCCUAAAAUUUAUAAAAUUUCUUUUAAGGUCCUUUGAAUUUUCAAUUUUUUUAAUUGGAUAUUAUAAUGUAGUGUCUAAAAAGGAGGACAAAUUUGUGUUUGACUUCUUAAACUUUUUUCAAUUUUUUUAUUUGAUUUCUUUUAUAGAAUUUAUAAAUUUUUUAAUUAUAAAUUUAAUAAAUUAAUGCAAAGUAAUAUAUAAAUAUUAAUUUGUUAAUAAAGUAAUAAUUGCAACAUCUAAGUAUAAUUAUUAUCUAAAAUUAAUUAGAUGAAAAAUAAACUUAAAUAAUUAUAAUAUUUAAUAAAAAUUGAGCAUUUAGCUCUUUUUUUCUUCUAAAUUUUGGUGACUAAGAUUAUCCCGAAUGUAAAAAUCUGUUGUUGAAAGCAGGUCUUUUCCACUUUGAUCAUGUAUAUUAUAUAUAAAUAUCUCGCCCCCUUAUCAACAAUUUUAGCUUCGACCUUGUAAAUAACACUCAAAUUUCAAAAAGGCAAUGAAAGAUAGAUAUUACGAUAUCAAAGUGUUUGGUUGUUGAGAAUUGUGAUAUUUGUUACUAUUGUUAUAAUUUAUUUCGUAUGAAGUUUACAUCAGUGUUAAUUAUGAUUAUCAUCCGAAUCUGUAUCAUUAAGAUCAUCAAGAUUUUUUUUUUGGUGUACUUUUCAAAGUAUGAAUCAUUCCAAAUUCAUCUAUGAAUGAAGCUGCGAAUUAUGCAACAUGUUUGUACAAUCCAAUGAAAUAUGAAUCAUCACUUUUAUAAUAUACAAAUUAUUUUUAUGAUAAUUUUUUAUCAUAACUUAAAAAAAAUAAGUUUAAAUAAUAUAAAUUUUUAUUAUAAUUUUAUAAAAUAAAUAUAAAUUAUUUUCAGAACAUAAUUUAUUAUAAUGAUUAUGAUUUUAACCAUUACUUUUCACAACACAUUAUUCUAAACAUUAAAGGUAUGAUUUUAACCAUUACUUUCUACUACUUUCAAUUAUACAAAAAGAUUUAAGUUUAGAUCCCACACUUGACUCGAAGAUAUAAAAACCUUAAUUGGAUGAAGAGAUUGACGAUCUAGUUCGGAGGAGAGGGAUGAUUUUUAAAACUUUUUGAAUUCCUUUGCUUGAAGAUUAAUUUGGUAAUGGUGGAGGAAUAAUUUGCUUGAUGAAAAUUAUAGGGUUUGAAAAUAUUUUCUAUUUCAAAAUUUUAAAAUCUAAAAGGUAAAGGUUAAAUUAUUAGAAAUAAAAGUAUAAAAAUUAAAUUUAAAAUUUUUCAAUAGUUCAGGGACCGAUGACAUAACUUAACCCUUCUAUGAUUGGACCUUUUUAGCAAACAGCACGAAUUUUCAUCCAUCUCUUUGGUCUAGCUUUUAAGUCAAGUCAACUGUUGUAGGACCUGCCAAUAAAAUCCUUUUGUUUCGACCCAAAACCUACAAAAAAAUGACUAAACUGAGUCACAUUGACUUUGCUAUUUUUCAUAAUAAUAAUAGUAAUAACAAUAAUUCAUUAACCUAAAAAUAAUAAUAACUCAAUGGUAGUUUUGUCUUCGACGGGUCAUUGGAUCUGAUUCUAAGUCCUAUCCGAAAAUUAAAAAGGGUUUGGAUAAAAAUAUAGGCUCAAAAAAUAGACUUGGACAAAAAAAAACUCGUUUAAAAAACGGGUCAGACCUUGGGUAAGGCUUUUUGGCCCAAUCUCGGCCCUAAUUAGCAAAAAGACAAAAAAAAACUACUAUUUUCUUGUUGUUUUGAUACUAUUUUCUUAUUAUUUUCUUACUUUUUUACUAUCAUUUCACUCUUAUGUUACUACUAUUUUGUUGUUAUUAUUCGGAUAUUGUAUAACUCUUAUUUUAUUAUUAAUUUUGUUACUAUUUUAGAGACAUUUGUUUGUUAAGUUACACCUAUCUUAGUAUUAUUUAAGUAUAAAUUUAUUUUUUAAAUUUAUUUUCAAUUUUUUGAGAAUCAUUUAUUUUAAUGUUUUUUUAUAUUUUAGAUGUAUUAUAUUUUUAAUUUUUUAUAUAUAAAAAAUAAUAUAAAGAAAUUAAUUUGGGCGGAUCGAACUAGACUCGAGUUUUAGCAUUUUUAUCCAAGUUGGGCUUGAAAAAAAUUUAGGCCCAUUUUUCGGGUCAAAUCGAGCCCAAACAUAGCAAACGGGCCUAAAAUAAUAAUAAUUCAUUAUUGGAUUGAGGUAGAACAUGAGGCUUGACUCUCGGCUUGUUAAUAUAUUAUUUGGUACCCAUAUUUGAUUUCAAUGUUUGAUUUGGUAUCUGAGUUUGACUUCAAUGCUUAGUUUGAUACUUGAGUUUUUUCAUAUUAAUGCUUGAGUUUUUCUUUGUCACAUAUAAGUACCUAAAUUUUACUUCAAUGUUUAAUUUGGCACUUGAGUUUUUUCUUUUGUCCCAAUUAAGUACCUAUGAUUCUUUUACUAAGGCACACAUGUAAAAUAUUUUUUGAAGUACACGAUGUUUAGUUUGGGUGCCAAAUUAAAUAUUGAAACCAAAUAUAAGCACUAAAUGGUAUAUUAACCCUUAACUUUAUCAUAUAGGGACCUAAAUUUAACAAAAAGAAAAUUAACAGUGUUAACAAUUAGACCUAAAUUCCAAAAUUUAAAAAGUAGAAAGAGUAAGUUCCUGAAAAUAAAAAUAUAGGGACUAAAUUUUAAAUUUAUGAAUCGUACAGGAUCUACAACAUAUUUUAACCCUUUGAAAAAUCAACGAUUAGACCACUUUUAGCAAAUAGCAGGAAAUUGCAUCCAUGUGCUCUAGUUUUUAAGUCAAGUCAGCUGUUGUAGGACCUGCCGACAAUAAUAAUAAUAACCACUCGUUAUUGAUUGAGGUAGAAGACGAGGCAUGACUCUAAACUUCCUUUAAUUUUAAAGUUAAUAUAUUAUUUAGUACCUAUAUUAAAAUCCUAUAUUUAAUUUUAAUAUUCAAUUCGAUACUUAAAUUUUUUUCCUAAAUUGGUACCUGAUUUUUUGGUAUUGAUACUUGAGUUUUCUUUUUCCCAUACCAGUACUCAGGUUUGACUUUAAUGUUUAAUUUAACACCUGAAUUUUUUUUGUCCCAAUUAAGUAUCUAUGUUUUUUUACUAGGCGGACAUGUCAAAUAUUUAUUGAACCACACGAUGUCGUUUAGUUUGGGUAUCGAAUUGAACAUUGAAGCCAAACUUAGGUUUCAAAUUGAAACAAAAAAAGAUUAGGUACAAAAUUGAAAAUUCAAGCCAAAUGUAAGUACCAAAUGAUAUAUUAACCCUUAAUUUUAUCAUAUAUAUAUAUAUAUGUAAAUAUUAAUCAAAAAAAUUAAACAUUUUGGUGUUGAUUAUAUAAAUAUUCAUAUAAGACAUUCACACCAAAUGGCAUGAUUUCACCCAUAUUUCUGGUAUUGUUUAUACGUUUGAGGGUCAGUCUACAAAAAAAUACAUCAGUUUUCAAAAAUUAUUUAGUUGUUAAAUAUAAGGUUGUCUUUUGCUGUGUUCAUUUUAUAAUGUGAUUUGAUCAAAAACUUCCUUCGGAUUAAAUAUAAAAUAUUGUCAUAAUCCUCUCUUACUUUUCAAAGUCUUGCGAGGUCUUGUUCUUGGAAAUUUCCCAUGUCCAGUGAGAGAUGUAGAGUGAUAUCUAUAUAUUUACGAUCAUUUUCAAAGCUUUUGCAAUAAGUUCUUUAUCACAAUCUUGCUGUCCGAAGAAAUUCAUGUCUAUAGAUAUGGACUGUUCCAUAUUCUGUAGGACGAAACUUUGUUUUAAUGCUUUCUUCUUCUUGUUUAUCAUCUCCUCUUUCACAUGUCUUCAUGUAGUCUUCGGCACAGCAAGUGAAUUUGAUUAUGGCGUUCACUGUAACUCAGUUGUUCAUGAAUCCAAACCAGUUGAUGAGGAGUUCAAUAUCAUGCCUUUCCCUGGACGUCAAUAUGGUUACUUCAGUGGUGGUGAUAAAGUCCUAAACAAUCCUCCUUCACGUUCCUACUAUGCACCCAAAUCGAAAACUCUCCUUUUCGAGACUCACCACGUAUUUACAACCGAUGCUGAUGAUGUCUUUAUGGUGGAAGGAAACCUGAUUUUUCAAACCUCGUUUUACUAUGAACAGAGUAUCUCCUCUGGAAGCUCAUAUUUUCGUGGGACACUGGACUUCGAUUUUCGAGGCUUCUGGUCUCGAACAACCGGGAAGCUUUGCAUGGUGGGAUCGAGUUAUGCUUACUCCAAAGAAGGUAAACUGCUUCAUCUUGCUGCUGUUCUUAAGAUUAAUAAUCUUCAGAGUUCAAGUAAUAUUAGUACUUUAGUCACCGGUACCAUGGAUAGCUUGAGUUCUGCUAAUGAUCCAAAUCACUUUGAGCAAAUAUCACUGCUGAUGUUUCCUCAAGUAAAUUACGCUUACACCAUGAUUUCAAAUCAGUUUAGUAAAGGGUGUCCUCGGGGAACCGAUGUCCAACCGAUGUCAUCCCUCCGCUUAUCGCAAACUCGAACUAUUUGUGAUAUGUUAGGUGGAAGCAAUGCUUUCGAAUUGGAGUAUACUGGCAGUUGUAAUUCUUCAAAGAGUUGCAAUCCAUUUGGUGAUGGUAUUGGAUAUUUACCUUCAGUAAUAUCGUUGAGUAUGAUUCAGUGCUCAAACGAUAGGCAAAGCUUGAGGUUUCUGAUAGAAUUCCGGAACGACAGCUAUCAGGGAUACUAUAGCUCUCCCAAUCUCAACACUUCAUUAAUUGGAGAAGGAUCUUGGGAUGCAAAGAGUAAUCGGCUUUGUAUCAUUGCUUGCCGAAUCUAUGAUGCAUCGAGCUCCUUGGAGAAGUCUCAUGUCGGAGACUGCACGACACGGUUGAGCUUAAGAUUCCCUGCAAUCUUGUCUAUCAGAAACCCAAGCACCAUUGUAGGAGAAAUUUGGAGUGAGAAGCCUAGGAAUGAAGGUGGUUUCUUUGACAGGGUCGAGUUCCGAAAUACUGGACGUUAUGGAGGAGGAAUUCAACUUCAAGGUUUGAAGUAUGUGUACACGGAAAUGGACGAAGUGAAGAAAUCAUGUCCAAAGAAGAAUUCUAGGACUAAUAGCAGUAUGGAACACUAUCCAGAUGGCUAUUCUGGAGACAUGAGUUUUAGUAUGUCCAUCAUUAACGGUUCCAAAGGAAGCAUCGGAUGGGGUUCUUCGGAUAUUCUUGCGGUAGAUGAUCAGCAGUAUCAGAGAUUUCCAUCUCUAUUACCAUCCUCAAGCUCAAAGCCUAAAAGUUCUGGCGUUGAAUCCGAUUCCAGCAGUGGCUUGCUUAAUGUCAGCUAUAAAAUUAGCAUCCCGCCACUUAGUUUGGAAUUGGAUGGUGGCCUCAAACCGGUUAACCAAUCUUCAUAUGAAUAUCUGCAAACCAAAAUCCAAAUUUCUGCUGAAGGGGUUUAUGAUACAACAACAGGUAGCCUAUGCAUGGUUGGCUGCAGGCGUUCAAGGUUAGACGGCAAAUCAUUUUCAAGCCAUUCGAUAGAUUGCGAUAUCCUUGUGCAAGUCAACUUUCUUCCAUUGAACUCGCGCAAGACAAAUAACAUUAAGGGAAGCAUCGAGAGCACGCGUGAAAAAACCGAUAGUCUGUAUUUCAAGCCUCUGCAGAUUUUGGGAACAACUUAUUCUCGCAGUUGGGGAGCGGAAUCGGUUUGGAGAAUGGAUUUCGAGAUGAUCGGGUCGGUCGUAUCCAACACUCUUGCAAUUAUCUUUGUUGCAUUUCAAAUCUUUCAUGUGAGGAAGCACCGUGGCAUUGGUCCUAUGGUUUCACUUCUCAUGCUUGUUAUUCUAGCCCUGGGACACUUGAUCCCUUUGGUUCUAAACCUCGAAGCAAUGUUCAUUCAAGAUAGCGAGAGAUCGGUCUUGAUUAGAGGUGGAAAGUGGCUCGAAAUGAACGAGGUGAUAAUUAGAGUCGUCACAAUGGUGGCUUUUCUGCUGCAAGUCCGUCUUCUGAUGCUCUCAUGGACUGCUAGAUGCUCCACUGAGAAGAAAAAGACCUUGUGGAUUGCAGAGAAAAGGGGGCUGUAUGUGUGUGCUCCGGUGUACGUAAUCGGAGCUAUUAUCGCCUUUUCGGUUAAGUCAAGGCAGAAUGUACACAGAACAGUAAUGGCCAGGCAUUCUUGGUACGACAUAGAUGAAAUCAUUUUGGGGAAUUCAAGAGCUUAUGCUGGUUUGAUACUGGAUGCCUUUCUUUUCCCUCAAAUCAUCUUCAACAUGUUCCACAACUCGAGAGAACUGGCUCUUUCUCGACUCUUUUACAUCGGAAUCACCCUUGUUCGCCUCGUACCCCAUGGAUAUGAUCUUUACAGGGCAAACAGCUAUGUUGAUAUAGAUGACACAUACAUUUAUGCAGAUCAUGGUGCAGAUUACUACUCAACUGCUUGGGACUUCAUUAUUAUUGUGUUGGGUAUAUUCUUUGCUGUGAUCAUACACUACCAACAGCGCCUCGGCGGUCGAUAUUUCCUUUCGAAGAGAUUCCUAGAAUCUGUGAUAGAUGAGGAACCUCCAGUGGAUUCAGAAGAACAAUUGCCAUUGAAAUAUAGCACCUAGUCCAUGCCUUGUGUUACUUCUAAGUGUUCACAACUUUUACUGUUUCCAAAUAAUUCUGUAAAUUGAUCCUUUUUCUUUUAUAGCUUAAUAAGCCUAAUGUAAUAUAAAGUUAUAAAUAAAAUUGUUUUAAAAAAUAUUUUAUUUU
rnacentral:lncRNA from 1 species